AAAUCAUUUGAAUCCUGUCCUGGUAUUGCUUUGUGUUCCUGGAUUUGGAGAAUUUCUGGGAACACAGGAAAAGGAAAGUGAAUGCCACCAGGAUCUGAACCCAAGAUUCCAGCCUCGGUCACCACCCUGACCCUGAGAAUGCCACUGGGAUGGGGAGAACUUGUCAGUCUUCAUCCUUCCCCACAAGUAUACUGAAGCCAGGACAGCACCUGCCUUAGAGAGCUCUUAGAGGGAUUAUCCGCAGCCUGAAGAAAGAAGGUUACAACUGAGGAAGAACUUCUGAACAGGGAAGAGUGGAAGAAAAGACUGCAGUACGUAGAGCAUCAAGGGAAGCUGUGGAAAUAUAUUUUCUUAAGUACAGGUAGAGAGGGGAAACAAAAUAUUUAGAACUUGGAAUGCGGGAAGGGGAUAUCCACAGGGAUUCUUAAGGGACAGCUCCAGGUCCUGGAGUGGACCCUAACAGCUGCUUCCAGGCUGGCAUUUGCCACUCCCCACGCCCUUCCCUGCCCCUGCUUCCUGGCCACUUCCAGUCUAUGUCCCUCUCAUAUUUCUUUUGUUUGUUUGUUUGCUUGUUUGUUUUGAGACAGUCUCGCUCUGUCGCCCAGGCUGGAGUGCAGUGGUGUAAUCUCGGCUCACUGCAAGCUCUGCCUACUGGGUUCACGCCAUUCUCCUGCCUCAGCCUCCUGAGUAGCUGGAACUAUAGGCGCCCGCCACCACGCCCAGCUAAUUUUUUAGUAUUUUUAGUAGAGAUGGGGUUUCACUAUGUUAGCCAGGAUGGUCUCGAUCUCCUGACCUUGUGAUCCGCCCACCUCAGCCUCCCAAAGUGCUGGGAUUACAGGCGUGAGCCACCGCACCCAGCCUGUUUGUUUGUUUGUUUGUUUGUUUGUUUGUUUAAAAAAAACGGAGUUUCGCUCUUCUUGCCCAGGCUGGAGUACAAUGGCAUGAUCCCAGCUCACUGCAACUUUUGCCUCCCAGGUUCAAGCGAUUCUUCUGCCUCAGCCUCCCAAGUAGCUGGGAUUACAGGCAUGCACCACCACGCCCAGCUAAUUUUUGUAUUUUUAGUAGAGAUGAGGUUUCAUCAUCUUGGUCAGGCUGGUCUCAAACUCCUGACCUCAGGUGAUCCACCCGCCUCAGCCUCCCAAAAUGCUGGGAUUACAGGCGUGAGCCACCGUGCCCAGCUUCCCUCUCAUAUUUCUAUCUGUAAGCAGCCUGUUGGAUCUCCAGUUUCCUAGUGUCUGGAUGUUGGUAUCCAGGAGAGGGGGCUGUGCUGAUGUGUGUCCCCCAAGGUCUGGGUACUUCCCCAUUUUUCAGUCACUAGGAAGGAGUUCUUCUGAGCUCUCCACUAGAAAACCCCACACCUGACCUGGCAGUGGGGGCUGUACAAUAACCAAAAAAUGAGCAAGGAAGGUCUACAGUAGCCUAGGCCUGUAUGUAGAGUCAGGAGACUUGGAUUUAGUCACUUCUCCUUACUCUCCUGUGAUCCCAGGUUAUUAUCCACUUGAUCUUUUAAAGCCCUUGUUGCUUCAUCUAUAGGCCAGGAAUAAUAAUAAAGUUUACCUUACUGGACUUUAGCAGGAUCAGUUAAAGUAAUAUGUGAAAGAAAAUAUGCUGCAAACUGUCACAUUUAACUAAAAUAUUUUAAGUUCUGGAAAAGGUCUGAUUGCUAGGGAGAGGGAGGCAUCAUGAAUCCAGCCCAGCCCUGGGCUUAGGAAUGUCCCUUCCCACAGCUGUCACGGCCUCUGGUCUUCCAUUAGUUUGUUGGCAAGAGGGGUAUGACUCUGCUCUCUGGUCAUUAGGGCAAGGAGCUAUAAAAAUCAAAAUCAAACACCAAGCAGUCUAGGGAGAGUCGUGCAGUGUUGUCCCUAUCAUUUUUCUCACCUCAGACCCAACCUCUGGCCUCUAGUUUUCGGCUGCCAAGACAGCAGCCCUACCGACACCCCACCCUGACCCUCUGCCCCUUUCGGCAGUCAGCACCUUUGCUGCCAUCGUGCUAACUCACAGACUGUACAGUUUCACCCGCCAUACCCCCCUUCUCUGCACCUCUUCCAACCCGAGCCUUCUGUGGCAGACAGAUGGGGUGUCUGCGAUGGAAAAAGCUCUGGGCUCUACGCCGUCUUGGGUGGGCAGCCCCCCUCCCCAACUCCCCAUUACUCCCUCUCCCCACCUAAGACACUCAGAUUCACCCCAGGCAGCACUAGAAGGGGCUGAGAAUUCCAACUCUCUUCUCUUCUCAGGCUCAGCUCCAGAAGCAGACCCAGAAUGGCAUCCUUCUCUGAGACCCAGACCCCAGCCCCUUUUCAUGGAAGACCAGCACAAAGGAGGAAGUAGGUUAGGGAAUGGUAAGGCUCCAUGUGAUGGGACUAAUGUGGAGAGGCCUGGGGCCUUUCCCUGAGGACUGGAUGGCUGGAGUUUGGGAGCCUGAGUUGACAGAGGAGGCUAAGCCCGGGCAGCUACUUUGUUCCAGAAAUCUAAGGUCCCUGGAGGGAGGCUCUGCUUUGGGAGGGGGAAGGGAGCUAACAUUGCAGAGCACCAACUGUGAACCAGGUACAAUGGCAGAGCCUUUCCAUACCUGUACUCACAACUAGCGGGUGAGGAGUCAAGGCAAAUAGGUGUCUCAUAGCUCCCCAUAUCUCGGCAGUCGACCACCUCCUCCUUUGAUUCUCUGAUGUCACUGCCAGUUCUCCUCCUAUUGCUCUGACCUGUCUUUCUCUGUGUCCUUUGCAAACUCAUUCUCAACUCCUUAGACUCAGUCAAGUCCCCCAGUUACACACUUCCAUGGUACUAUAUAUCAUUCCUUCAGAGCACUUAACACAGUUAUUUCCUAUGUAUUUGUCCAGUCAUUUGAAUAAUGAUCCUAGUUUCAUUGGAUGGAAAGUUCCACAAGGUCAGUGACCAUUUCUAUCUGUGUUCACCAAUGUGUUCCCAGUGCCCAGAAACAAUGCCUAGCAUAAAGCAGCUGUUUUGUAAAUACUUGUUCAAUGAAUGAAUAAAU
rnacentral:lncRNA from 1 species